rnacentral:lncRNA from 1 species
AGAAAAGAAAGAAAGAAAGAAAAGAAAGAAAGAAAGAGAAAAAGAAAGAAAGAAAGUUUGGUUUGGAUAAAGCAUUAAGACACAAAAUCUCUGGAAGGGAACUCUAUUUUUGGUGGUUGUAGGAAUAGGAAGUGAUGAAACAUACCCUUAACUAGUUUAAAGGAAAGUCUAGUCAGUGCUUAAAUAAAAUACCUUGCCAACAUUGUAACUUAAUAUUCUACCAGUUGAAAAGUCAUAGUAAUUGAGUCCAAUAAUAAAUAAUAAUAAUGUUCAUCUGCAAAAGAAUGUUAUCUGAAAUAUACACUAAUAAUAAUGUUCUUAAAACAUGUUUACAUAUUUUUUCAUUGACAUAAUUUUCAUGAUAUUCCACCUUCUGAUCCUGAUGGCAAGUCAAGUCUACUACUUUGAUUAGUUUGUCAUCAUAAUAUGACUAGGGUAAUUUCAUAUUGUGUCCAUUUAAAAAUAGGCACUUAUACUGAGUAGAAAUAAUCAUUUUAAAUCUCAGCUCAGGCCUGGAAUCAGACUGAUGUUGACUUCUUUUCCUCCCUUUGUACACUUACUUUGUAAUAUUGGGUAAAUCUGUUAACCAGAUGGAACCUCAGUUUCAUCAUCUAUAAAGGAGGAUAUUAACACCUACUUUGUUGGAUUCUGAGGAAGAUUAAGUAAUACAAUGAGUUUGGAUAAGUCAUGCAAGUAUAUAGCUCAUGCUUUGCAUUCACUAAAGGGAAGAAUGGGGAGAGGAGAAGCAGAAAGAUAAAAAGAAGAAGAGAAGAAAGAAGGAAUCUGUCUUCCUCACCCCAGGAAGCAGGUGAGUCCCCAGAGAGGAGGCUCCACUGGUAGAAGCACUUGCCAGGCUGAGAAGGGGCUCUGCCACAGCUAGAUGGGGGCUUUCAGUGGCAAGAUGUCUGGUAAGGAUGGAAGAGGAAAGAAGACUGACACUUUCAGAAGCUGGCUCCAUGACUGAGUGGUUUGGACUUAAGAGUAGGUGGAACUACUGCUGCCCCAGAACCCUCUGUAGCAAGUUUCAUAGCCUUGUGACUUCAAAUGUAGGCAGAAGUAUUUCUAGGUAUUAUGGUAGGGACAGGGCAAGACUUCUGAUGUCAAAGGAAAUAGUAGCUGGAGGAAUAAGCCAAUUAGAGAUGGGGAAACUGAGGGGGGGUUGGCUCUCUAUAGACCUACACAGCAAAGGAAACGGAAGGGGAAAGAGGGUGGAGAAGGUGGGCAUUUAUAUAUUAGGCUUGAUGGUAGGGUGGCUGUAAAUUUCACCUAUGUACAGCUCCAUACAGCCUCAUCUGCUGCAGACGUGUGUAUGUCUGUGAGUAAAUUUAUAAUUUACAUAAUAGUAAUCUGUAUCUGUUUUGGCUUUGCUAACUGUCUUAACAUUUUGAUAAAGUGGUUGCGGCUGUUGACAUUACAGUUCGGCUCUUCCUCCCCUCAAUUAAAAGCAGGAUGGUGGGGUUUAAAUAUACUACAGGGAGUUUUAAUAAGGUACCACCAAAAUUAUCAUGAGAUCUCAUUAGGUUUACUAAAAAACUUUAAAUAUCUGAGAUAAUGCUUCUCAUAGGCUAGAUUCUAGAAUAAUGCUCAAGGAAAUUUGGGAGUUUACCAGAUAGUGCAUCAGCAAUGAAAUCGCCACACUUAAUUACUGGACAAUGAUUAAUAUUUUCUUUACAGGUGUAAUUGCAUGACGUGAAAGUUGAUGGUGUGUUUUUCAGAGAGGCAAAAAGAUAAUAAAUGCUGCAGAAAAGCUGACAGCAAGACUGAGCCUAUCCAAAAUGAUGCAGAGAAAACAUGCUAAUUAGCAACUCACUAACAAUAUCUCACCGAAGUGCUCUCUGAAACAAAGCUGCACUUUUUUUCAUAGAGCAUCUGAAGCCCUAUGGGUACAGACUAUGAAAAUGAGGUUAAGGAAGUUGGCAAUGGGCACACAAUGAUUAUGAUGUCACAUCCAUAAAUAUUAAAUGAUAAUAAAACACUAAAGCGGCAGGGUGAUAUACACGGAGCCAGGACGGGGAUUUGAUUUCUCAAGAGUCAAAUGAGAGCCAGUUGGAAAAAAUGCCCAGCCCUGGAGAAAAAGACAAUCAUGAAAAGGGUAUACUGUUAUUAUACUGAAAGAAGCUUUCCAAGUCACUCCAUACAUUCACUGCAGAAGAAUCAGGUCACUUCAGGAAGGAGGCCUAUGAUGAACCUUAGAGAACUUAACUAGGAAAUGGAUUUAAUAACUGUUGACUGUAACCCUGGUGGAUGCUUCAAGCUCCCUCUGUAAUGAACCUAGCACACAUCAGGUAGAACAUCCUGUCCCAAGAAGCCAGCAAUCUAUUACUUCACAUACAGCAAACGUUUCAUGAAAACCUGCUUUUGUUUUCACCAUGGCACCUUUGCCAAUUUCCUCUAAUUGACCGGGAUUAUAACGUUGAUCCUAGAAGAAGAAUCUAAGCAGUCAGAAGGCCUACGUUUCUCUUCAAAGAUCAUCCUCAAUUCACAGACAGAAACAGGGUCCAAGCCAGGUCAUGUAACAAGUUUAUGGAACAUCUAGUUAUCCAUGAGACUCAUGGCUGUUACACGUUGGAUAUUUUAUCACAUUUCCCUGGCUUGAAACUGACAAUUUUAGGACAUUUUUUUCCUUCUUUUUUCCUCCCUUUUCUUCCACUCUCAUAACUCCAUUUUGACAUUUGCUUUGUUGCCCUUGUGUGAAUCAAAUCUGAUACAGAUUUAUCCACAGAAAGGCUAUAGCUGAAUAAAAUUUCUGAUUCUGUUUUGUCAAAUAUCAUUACUCAGUGACAGCUAUCAUGGUAUUCUGCUUUUUGUAUGGUUUUUCUUUCUAGAAAAUCAUACACAUGGGCACAAAUGCAUAGACACAGGUGUGCAGACAUGGGCAAAGACAAGGCCCCAUGCAUGUGAACACACACACACACACACACACACACACACAUACACAUAUUUAGGGCUUCAUAAAGUCCAUGAACGUGGAAAAAAUACUGACAGUUUUUGCACUUUGAUUUGCCACUAAUUUAAAUAUUUGCUUUAGUAUUCUUUGGUCCUAGGGAUUGUAAUAAUAAUAUAUCAUCUCCAUAGAAUUUUCUAGAAUCAUGAUUUGGCAAUUUUGCCUAUAGCUGAAGAAAUUAUGUUUUCUUUUCUCAAGUCCAGUAGUAAUCUUCAGUUUUUUUCAAGCACCUGUGAUUCUCAGUCUUAGUAUCCUGGAGACUUCUAGAUUGCUGUGUGUUAGGGAGGACCCAGUACCCUAUCUUAAAACAAGCUAUUGUUCUUGUUUAUAUAUUAGUAUUAAAUUUUUUUGGAUUUUUGGCUUUGAAAUUGCUUAAAUAUUCAUAAGAUGCAAAUGACCAACAUUAUGUUCUUUCCUUAGAGCAGGUAUUCAUGGGCAACAAUUUAGGAAAUGAUACAGAAAGAAAGGAAGGCUGGAAAGACCAAAGAAAAACAGCUACAGUUUUGCCAAGAACCAGCCCCACGCUUCAUGAGAAUUGUGAUACAUUUACAUUUGGCUUUUAAUUUCUGUAUCAAUUUGGACUGUGUUUUUGUGAAAAUGAGAUAAUAUAUGUGAAAGUACCUAGCUGAAUUCUUGGGAUAUGGCAAAAACCCAAUAAAUAUAAGUUUUUACUACUGUGUUAAGCAUCUUCUUGUCGUAAGCAGAAUUUACCCAGUUGAUAAGGAAAAGAUAAAGCUUAGUUGAGCCAAUUAGCAUAAAACAUUUCAAGCUGAGAACACACACUUAAUGUUACCAUAAAAAUUUGAAACCGGAG